rnacentral:rRNA from 1 species
GACGAACGCUGGCGGCGUGCUUAACACAUGCAAGUCGAACGGUAAGGCCCUUCGGGGUACACGAGUGGCGAACGGGUGAGUAACACGUGGGUGAUCUGCCCUGCACUUCGGGAUAAGCCUGGGAAACUGGGUCUAAUACCGGAUAGGACCACUGCCUGCAUGGGUGGUGGUGGAAAGCUUUUGCGGUGUGGGAUGGGCCCGCGGCCUAUCAGCUUGUUGGUGGGGUGAUGGCCUACCAAGGCGACGACGGGUAGCCGGCCUGAGAGGGUGACCGGCCACACUGGGACGGAGAUACGGCCCAGACUCCUACGGGAGGCAGCAGUGGGGAAUAUUGCACAAUGGGCGCAAGCCUGAUGCAGCGACGCCGCGUGAGGGAUGACGGCCUUCGGGUUGUAAACCUCUUUCAGUAGGGACGAAGCGCAAGUGACGGUACCUACAGAAGAAGGACCGGCCAACUACGUGCCAGCAGCCGCAGUAA